CAUCUGCUCCGGGUUUUCCGCGGCACCGAAGGACCUGCUGCCGCCGAAGACCCCCGGAGCAGACCCCACCGCCGCUGAAAUGCUGCCGAAGACCCCCGGGGCGGGGCCCCCUUAGGCGCUGGCGUGGUGCCCUCUUUGGCGUGGGGCCCGAUUCCGGGGAAUCGGGUGAAUCCGCUUAAAGCUGGCCCUGGAUGAAGUAGAUAGUACAGUGGACCACCUUGCCAAAACCAUGUGGAAGUCUGACACCAAUUGUAGAUUUAAAUAAGGCCAGAAGAAGAGUAAGAAAUUGCAUUCCGUUAAGCAAGACUGCCUAAGGGACUUGAUGGGAUGCUGUCUCCUUGCAUUCAUUUGUAAGCUGCCAAAUCAUGCAAAGUAUUGUAGCCUCCAAAAUUAGGGGCUCUGAUUCAUGCAAGUGAUUACGUGAAUGUUUCUCCAACCUCAAUACAACAUACUUCAGCAGUCUCAUUGUGUAACAUCUAGGAAAAAACACCAACCGUGAUCCUGCAUAGCAUUCAACUCUUUUUUCACUUUAUCGCUUCUCCCUAUCCAUCUGUGUGAUCGUGCAGUGCCUGAGGAUGUCUUGGAUGGUGUGUGGGACAGAGGCCAAGCAGCCCAGCAAUGUAGAGUUAUCUCUGUUGGUGUUGAAUACACUAACGCCUGUAACAGAUAUUGCGGUAGUAAAGAGAAUAACAGUGAGCUUGUCGUGCUGGAGAAGCUUGUACAA